rnacentral:rRNA from 1 species
UUAAUCGGGGCAGGGUGAGUCGACCCCUAAGGCGAGGCCGAAAGGCGUAGUCGAUGGGAAACGGGUUAAUAUUCCCGUACUUGGUGUUACUGCGAAGGGGGGACGGAGAAGGCUAUGUUGGCCGGGCGACGGUUGUCCCGGUUUAAGCGUGUAGGUAUGUGUUCCAGGUAAAUCCGGUUCACUUUAACACUGAGGCGUGACGACGAGGCACUACGGUGCUGAAGCAACAAAUGCCCUGCUUCCAGGAAAAGCCUCUAAGCAUCAGGUAACAUCAAAUCGUACCCCAAACCGACACAGGUGGUCAGGUAGAGAAUACCAAGGCGCUUGAGAGAACUCGGGUGAAGGAACUAGGCAAAAUGGUGCCGUAACUUCGGGAGAAGGCACGCUGACACGUAGGUGAAGUGAUUUACUCACGGAGCUGAAGUCAGCCGAAGAUACCAGCUGGCUGCAACUGUUUAUUAAAAACACAGCACUGUGCAAACACGAAAGUGGACGUAUACGGUGUGACGCCUGCCCGGUGCCGGAAGGUUAAUUGAUGGGGUCAGCGCAAGCGAAGCUCCUGAUCGAAGCCCCGGUAAACGGCGGCCGUAACUAUAACGGUCCUAAGGUAGCGAAAUUCCUUGUCGGGUAAGUUCCGACCUGCACGAAUGGCGUAAUGAUGGCCAGGCUGUCUCCACCCGAGACUCAGUGAAAUUGAACUCGCUGUGAAGAUGCAGUGUACCCGCGGCAAGACGGAAAGACCCCGUGAACCUUUACUAUAGCUUGACACUGAACAUUGAGCCUUGAUGUGUAGGAUAGGUGGGAGGCUUUGAAGUGUGGACGCCAGUCUGCAUGGAGCCGACCUUGAAAUACCACCCUUUAAUGUUUGAUGUUCUAACGUGGACCCGUGAUCCGGGUUGCGGACAGUGUCUGGUGGGUAGUUUGACUGGGGCGGUCUCCUCCUAAAGAGUAACGGAGGAGCACGAAGGUUGGCUAAUCCUGGUCGGACAUCAGGAGGUUAGUGCAAUGGCAUAAGCCAGCUUGACUGCGAGCGUGACGGCGCGAGCAGGUGCGAAAGCAGGUCAUAGUGAUCC